AAGCCUAAAUAGUGUUUCCUUGU
rnacentral:snRNA from 1 species